rnacentral:rRNA from 1 species
GAUGAACGCUGGCGGCGUGCCUAAUACAUGCCAGUCGAGCGAACAGACGAGGAGCUUGCUCCUCUGACGUUAGCGGCGGACGGGUGAGUAACACGUGGAUAACCUACCUAUAAGACUGGGAUAACUUCGGGAAACCGGAGCUAAUACCGGAUAAUAUAUUGAACCGCAUGGUUCAAUAGUGAAAGACGGUUUUGCUGUCACUUAUAGAUGGAUCCGCGCCGCAUUAGCUAGUUGGUAAGGUAACGGCUUACCAAGGCGACGAUGCGUAGCCGACCUGAGAGGGUGAUCGGCCACACUGGAACUAAGACACGGUCCAGACUCCUACGGGAGGCAGCAGUAGGGAAUCUUCCGCAAUGGGCGAAAGCUUGACGGAGCAACGCCGCGUGAGUGAUGAAGGUCUUCGGAUCGUAAAACUCUGUUAUUAGGGAAGAACAAAUGUGUAAGUAACUAUGCACGUCUUGACGGUACCUAAUCAGAAAGCCACGGCUAACUACGUG